rnacentral:rRNA from 1 species
UACGUAGGGUGCAAGCGUUUGUCCGGAAUUAUUGGGCGUAAAGAGCUCGUAGGCGGUUUGUCGCGUCUGCUGUGAAAACCGGAGGCUCAACCUCCGGCCUGCAGUGGGUACGGGCAGACUAGAGUGUGGUAGGGGAGACUGGAAUUCCUGGUGUAGCGGUGGAAUGCGCAGAUAUCAGGAGGAACACCGAUGGCGAAGGCAGGUCUCUGGGCC